UGACCUUGUGAUCCGCCCGCCUCGACCUCCCAAAGUGCUGGGAUUACAGAUGUGAGUUACCGCGCCCGGCAGGAUUCUCACUCUUAAAGCAUUCUCCUUUCUUUGGACAGAUCUGUGGUUUUCCUAAUUGAAGGACACAGUCUCAUUCUGUCACCCAGGCUGGAGUGCAGUGGCAUGAUCUCAGUUGACUGCAACCUCCACUUCCUGGGUUCAAGCAAUUCUUCUGCCUCGACCUCCUGAAUAGCUGGGACUACAGGUGUGUGCCACCAUUCCUGGCUAAUUUUUGUAUUUUUAGUAGAGUCAGGGGUUCACUGUGUUGGCCAGGCUGGUCUUCGAUUCCUGAAAGUGCUCCACCAGGCCUUCCAAAGUGUUGGGAUUACAGGCGUGAGCCAGCGUGCUGGGCCUGAUUACACUUUUGAAAGGAAAUCUAAGUGUGGUGCAGACAAUUACCAUCCUUUACCUGUAGACCUGGAGAGAGGAAAAGGUGCGUUUUAAAUUAAUCUGUCUCCUCCCUUUUCUGCUUGGAACCUUUUAUGAAAAUUAGUUGCUUUUAUAUUUUCUCAAUAUACAUUUUCUGGAUACAUGUAAUGUGUGUUUUGCAGAUGCAGUUAAUUUAUUUACUGAGUGGCUAGUUGCUGUGUCAGGUGCUAUGAGGGCUACAAAGAUGAACCAUUGAGCCUUCGUCAUGUGGAUCUCACCAAUAAGGAAUGCAAGAAAAAUCAGGAAAGUACUGUCAUAGGUAUGUCAUUUUUUUAUUCUUUUAACUUUUAUUUUGGCAUAAUUGUAGACUUAAGAAAAGUUGUAACAAUAGUACUAAAAAUUUCCUUUUAUUGGCCAGGUGCGGUGGCUUACACCUGUAAUCCUAGCACCCUGGGAGGCCGAGGUGGGUGGAUCACGAGGUCAGGAGUUCAAGAUCAGCCUGGCCAAUAUGGUGAAACCCCAUCUCUACUAAAAAUACAAAAAUUAGCUGGGCACGGCGGCGGGUGCCUAUAAUCCCAGCUACUCAGGAGCCUGAGGCAGGAGAAUCAUUUGAACCCGGGAGGCGAAGGGGUUGCAGUGAGCCAAGAUCAUGCCACUGCACUCCAGCCUGGGCAACAUGAGCGAGACUGCAUCUCAAAAAAAAAAAAAAAAGAAAAGAAAAGAAAAGAAAAUGCUAUGUUUGAAUAACUCCCUGGCAGGACAGAUAUGGGAUGCUUUGCCUUAUCCUUGUCUUUAGAAACUGAAAUAUUUAGCAACCACACCUGCAGAAGCAUGCUGGCUCUUGAUGCGGGUACUUAUUUUCAAGGCUGUAAACAGCCACAUAACCCCUCUUGGCACUGUGCUAGGCCCUGGGGGUGCAAUGGUGAGCAAGAAAGCCUGGUCCCUGCCCUCCAUUCCUGCCAUGUAUCUAAUCCAGUGGCCUUUCAGCUUAAAACAAUUGUUCUAAAUUGAUGCAUAAUAAUUGUACAAAUCUACAUGG
rnacentral:lncRNA from 1 species